GGUCAUGAGCGCCAGCGUCAAGCCCCGGCUUGCUGGCCGGCAACCCUCCUCCGCGGUGGGGUGCCCCGGGUGAGGACCAGGCACCGGCAGGACGCCGGUGCAAGCGUGGCCU
rnacentral:ncRNA from 2 species